GGUGCGGGGGUGUGGACUAGCCCAGCUGGGUCCCCGGGAGAGAGUGGGUGCGUAUCGGGGUGCCGGGGGAGGGCUGGGCGUGUUUCGCGGGGUUUUGUUGCACAGGCUCGAAGAUGCUGCAAAUCAAAUCCCAAACGGGAGUCGCAGCAGCGCAGACUGGAUCGGAAGUCGUUUGCUCCGGUUCACUUGCCUGUAAAUGCAGGGGAAAGGGGAGGGGGCUAUCAGCCCCAGUGCAGAUCCUAAUCGCUGCGGGGGUGGGGUAAGGGACGCCGCUCCCAGCCUAGCCUGGGCCCAUUCAUCUCAGCCAAACGCCGCCCGGCCCGCAGAGCCCAGCGCAGUGAGGUGGGGAGGAAGGAAGCUCCCUCCGGAUUUUGUUUUAAGGCUGAAAGAAAACACUUUGGAGCAGCGGCCUCCGCGGGCCUGGGGUGGGGACUGCGGCGGGAACGCGGGGUUCCGGGCGAGGACUGAGACACCUCGGUGGCCUCCCGAGCCUUGCCAGCGUUGGGCAGCGGCAGCCGGAGGGAACCCUCCCGGCCCUGACUCCGACGCGGCCCCCGAUCCCGGGCGGGGGCAACUGCCUGGACUUCAAAGGGGAUCAAAGCCGGGAAGGGACAAGUCACCCGGGCACAACUUUUCUUCCCCUCCGCCCCUCCUGCCAGUUGUUUUGUUUUGGUUACUAGCUUNNNNNNNNNNNNNNNNNNNNNNNNNNNNNNNNNNNNNNNNGAUCUGCAGGAAAAAAAAAAAGGCUGCUCGGUGUGGGACACAUCCAGGAAAACAAUGUGGUCGGCAGAAGCAGGAAACGGGUUAGAGGCGAGGGUCGGAGUCGGGAAAACCGGGAAGGCAGGGCGGGGGCGGGGGGUGCGGAAGGCAGCCACCGCCUCUCCCAAGUCAGGGACCACAGCGACUCUAAAUGCCACCCCCAAUUGAUCACCCAAGCUCAGAGAUCACAGACACCGCACCCAAUCCCAGGCUGGGGGGUGGGGGCGGGGGGAGGUCUUUGAGGUUCGCGGCCCCGACUCCUGGCACCAGGAGGUCCCCCAGGAGAUUCCGCUCGGACCCAGGCCCAGGAGGCGGGAGAGACGAGGACUUGAGUGCAGAGCGGCAUGUCUCGCUCCGGGACGCGCCGCGGCGGCGACCCUCCCUCUUUGGCCGCCCCUUUCCCUUUCCGCGCCGGGAGUCUCCCACUUCCCGCGCCUGGAGAAAGGGCCGCAGCGAGGGAGGAGCGGGGAGCCGGAGCGGCGGCGUGGUGCUUCAGACUGGCAGGAAGCAGGGGGAGGAGGGGGUGUGAGAGGUGGGGUCCGAAGACUGCACGCGAACGUGGGAUGAGUGGAGCUUCUGCACAUGCUUGAUAGGCGGGGAGCGGGCAGGGGAAGGGCUACCUUGGGGGUGAGGGGGUAGUUAGAGACUAUCGUGGGCCGCAGUGGUACGGGCGGCGCUACGAUGUUAGUAACUCUGGGGGCGCAGAGGCAGGUCCGAGAAGGCGAGUGUGUGAAGAGGGGCCCGUUCCGGGCGGGCCGGGGGGCUGAGGCCGGAGAAGAGCCUCGGAAACAGCGCGGAAUACCCGUCUUUCUGGGUCCAGGGCUGUGACUGGGCUCUCCGCCAAGGCUUGGAGACAGAGGCAGAGGGCAGUCGUUGGUCACGGAUGAUGCCAACGACGGCUGCCCAAAGGUGCACCGAGGCUGCCCGUGUGCAGGGGGUUUGGAGGAGGGGGCUGGGAGCUCGCGCCGCGGCGCGAGAGCCAAGGCAGGGUCCCGGGCAGGACGGUGAAGGGCGGAGACGCAGCCCUAAAGAAGCACUGUGCGCUGCGCCGGGAGACGGGGAGAGGGUCCGGAGGGAGGGGGCCUGAGGGGUUCCGGGCGGCAGCGCGAGGGCGAUGCCGAGAGCCACAUCCGCGCCCUCUCCUUCCCGCCUCUGCCGCCCGGUCUGUCCAGCCUGGGCUCCAGUCCCGCGGCGGGCGAGAAGAAAAGGGAGAGGGACGGAGCCUUUACCUGGCUCUGACGCGACGGGUCCUGCGCCCCCGGCUCCGCUUCCCACUAGGAGCUCUCCUCCCUUCUCGUCCCCGCCACCCGCUUCUACGCAGAUCGGUCCCCUUAGUCCCCCGAGGAGCCUCUGCCAACUCCACAGGACCCCGCCGGGAAGCAGGGCCCACCCUCCUGCCAAUCAGCGCCCGCUUUCUAUCGACCGAUGGGGCCCAUAGCCAAUAGGAACAGCUGAUCCCGAGAGGCCGGGAAUAAGGAGGAGGAGCUGGCGAAACCCUGGAGGUGUGACUAGCACCGUCGAGGCGUGGUCACAGAGUUAAACUCCUCCCCGGGCGGCCGAGCCCCACAGUAGAAUGGAAGGGCGGGAUUAAGAGAGAACCAACAGCCAAACACACACAUCUGAGGGGAGGCGCGGCCGAUUGGGCCGGGGGAAGAGAGGCGGCCCCGUUGCGGAGAAUUCUAGCCAAUGCAGAGUAGAGCGCGGCGAGGCCUGUGGAACGUCUGCAAAUGAGAAGCGUGGNNNNNNNNNNNNNNNNNNNNNNNNNNNNNNNNNNNNNNNNNNNNNNNNNNNNNNNNNNNNNNNNNNNNNNNNNNNNNNNNNNNNNNNNNNNNNNNNNNNAGAGCGCGGCGAGGCCUGUGGAACGUCUGCAAAUGAGAAGCGUGGUGGGCGUGCCUUGUUCUCUCACUCUGGCGAGGGGAGGCCUCGCCGAAUCCUCGAGAGCGGACCAAUGAGAUCGGAGGCGGGGCCAAGCUCUGCCAACCAGCAAGCCGAGUUUUAUCUAGGCACCGUUACUGGGGCGGGGCGUCGGCGUUCCUGACCACUGAGAUCGCCUCAGAGGCCGGCUCCCGAGCCUUCCAAUGUGGGGCGUGGGCGAACUCUAGUUCUCCCAAUCGGUGCACGGCGCCGGCCGAUUCAAACUGACAGCGGGUUGGAAAGGCCGAGAGCGGAAGAGCGAGCAAAAAGCGACGUGUGCGGUGGCAGAGACCCCCCAACGCCGACCGAGCCCGCAAAGCGACCUCUGCCCCGCCCUGCCGACAGCCCCCCGCACUCUGGAGCGGCCGCUCGGGAAAGACUUGAGGGAUCGGCGGGAGCCGCGAGGGAAAGCUGAGGGGAGGGAGACGCAAGAGGAACGACGCGAGAGCCCGCACGCUGAGGGCUGGGGACUGUGCCAGGAAAGAA
ensembl:lncRNA